rnacentral:rRNA from 1 species
UUUAUGGAGAGUUUGAUCCUGGCUCAGGAUGAACGCUGGCGGCGUGCCUAAUACAUGCAAGUCGAGCGAACGGACGAGAAGCUUGCUUCUCUGAUGUUAGCGGCGGACGGGUGAGUAACACGUGGAUAACCUACCUAUAAGACUGGGAUAACUUCGGGAAACCGGAGCUAAUACCGGAUAAUGUUUUGAACCGCAUGGUUCAAAAGUGAAAGACGGUCUUGCUGUCACUUAUAGAUGGAUCCGCGCUGCAUUAGCUAGUUGGUAAGGUAACGGCUUACCAAGGCAACGAUGCAUAGCCGACCUGAGAGGGUGAUCGGCCACACUGGAACUGAGACACGGUCCAGACUCCUACGGGAGGCAGCAGUAGGGAAUCUUCCGCAAUGGGCGAAAGCCUGACGGAGCAACGCCGCGUGAGUGAUGAAGGUCUUCGGAUCGUAAAACUCUGUUAUUAGGGAAGAACAUAUGUGUAAGUAACUGUGCACAUCUUGACGGUACCUAAUCAGAAAGCCACGGCUAACUACGUGCCAGCAGCCGCGGUAAUACGUAGGUGGCAAGCGUUAUCCGGAAUUAUUGGGCGUAAAGCGCGCGUAGGCGGUUUUAAGUCUGAUGUGAAAGCCCACGGCUCAACCGUGGAGGGUCAUUGGAAACUGGAAAACUUGAGUGCAGAAGAGGAAAGUGGAAUUCCAUGUGUAGCGGUGAAAUGCGCAGAGAUAUGGAGGAACACCAGUGGCGAAGGCGACUUUCUGGUCUGUAACUGACGCUGAUGUGCGAAAGCGUGGGGAUCAAACAGGAUUAGAUACCCUGGUAGUCCACGCCGUAAACGAUGAGUGCUAAGUGUUAGGGGGUUUCCGCCCCUUAGUGCUGCAGCUAACGCAUUAAGCACUCCGCCUGGGGAGUACGACCGCAAGGUUGAAACUCAAAGGAAUUGACGGGGACCCGCACAAGCGGUGGAGCAUGUGGUUUAAUUCGAAGCAACGCGAAGAACCUUACCAAAUCUUGACAUCCUUUGACAACUCUAGAGAUAGAGCCUUCCUUCGGGGACAAAGUGACAGGUGGUGCAUGGUUGUCGUCAGCUCGUGUCGUGAGAUGUUGGGUUAAGUCCCGCAACGAGCGCAACCCUUAAGCUUAGUUGCCAUCAUUAAGUUGGGCACUCUAAGUUGACUGCCGGUGACAAACCGGAGGAAGGUGGGGAUGACGUCAAAUCAUCAUGCCCCUUAUGAUUUGGGCUACACACGUGCUACAAUGGACAAUACAAAGGGCAGCGAAACCGCGAGGUCAAGCAAAUCCCAUAAAGUUGUUCUCAGUUCGGAUUGUAGUCUGCAACUCGACUACAUGAAGCUGGAAUCGCUAGUAAUCGUAGAUCAGCAUGCUACGGUGAAUACGUUCCCGGGUCUUGUACACACCGCCCGUCACACCACGAGAGUUUGUAACACCCGAAGCCGGUGGAGUAACCUUUUAGGAGCUAGCCGUCGAAGGUGGGACAAAUGAUUGGGGUGAAGUCGUAACAAGGUAGCCGUAUCGGAAGGUGCGGCUGGAUCACCUCCUUUCU